UUAAUCAAAGCUAGUGGUUUGUGGAGCUAAUUUAGCCCAGUGUUACUGUAUACAGUGUUACUCCAGCUCAAGCUUAAGAAAGCUUCAUCAGGUUGUUUGCCAUGUGGGGAGGGAGUAGACAAGGUCUUGGUAAUAAGGUUCUUUAACCUCACCGGCGGAUCUGCUCCACUUAAUGACUGUAAUUAAAGGGCUCUGCUCCACAGACGGAUCAAUGACGUGCUACGAGCACAGACGUAGCAUCGACGUAGCUAUAACACAAGGAACCGACCACAGACAUGAGGUAAGAACUUUUAAACCUGGAUGCAUUUAAGGCAAGCAUGGGCUAUGGUGGCUUGUCAACAUUUAGGCUUCGUAAGAGAACCAUGCGUCUUUGAUUCUCUGUCUCUGUAGUAUUUUUUCAUAACAUUUCCUUAAGCUUGAGGCUGAGAAGUGCAAAUGUAGUUAGUCUUAAAGAGAAAUACACUGUAAAGUAGGUGUCACAGGACCGUAAUAAAUUUGGCAAGACAUGCAAAUUAUGUGCAUGACCAUCACAUGGCUGACUAGCUGUACACAAGCUAGAAAGGGAUGUAUGAGAGGAGAGAAAAAGGUGGUCACAGCAGUUUGGGUUUUGCAGACACUGGCACAAAAUAACAGGCAACUUCUGUGUUUUGAAAGAGGGAACUAAAAACUGUCCAGCUUUGAGGCCCAGAUGAGAAAGAAAAGAAUAAUGCAUGUCAUCAUAGCUGCAUGAAUAAGGAACUGAUGCUGGGGGGCAAAUGCAGGCACCCCAGACAUAGAGCUAUGAUGACACCUCCACAGAUAUGCAUUUCAGAAGACAGCUCUGAGCCUUGGGCAGGUUUCAAGCACCAGGAUUAAUAUCCACACCGACCAUAGACACAUGGUGGAAGAAAAGUCUGUGGAGAGAGUAGAAAAACCGACUCGACUGAAAAUAAGUUGUGGAGCACGAGGUGUUGUGUGAAGUCUACUCUGUUGUUUUGCCGAAUUUGGGAACUAGAAAGUAUGUUAUGAUUGCAGCACUUGGGACUUCCACAGUGUUCUGUAACUAAGGCCAUGGUUGGCUGAUUAGACAUAGCUGACAUUCCUACAGAUCACCACCAAACCACAGAGAGUUUUGGUCCAACACAACAUUCCAACUCAAAAAGGGCAAUAACAAGGUAAAGUUACACUGAGUCAUGCUUCAGGUCUUCAUGAGUCAGCUUUGUUGAUAAAAGAACAACAACAUAGGGCUCAGCACCAGACUAAAUUAAAUUCCAAUUACCGUCACAAUCUCCCAUGCCAAUUUUGUCUUUUGAUAUCAGUUCCUCUUCCUUAUACUCUGUGAUGCCCUGCUAAUUUGAAACUGUUGCCACACACUGUUUUACACACUUUUACAAAACUUAUCUUCUAAAAAUGAUUCAGAAAGUCCCACCUCACACUUCAAAGGCCAUGCUUCCAAAUAUCGCCCACCAAGGUUGUAUUUUUGGCAGUGUUACUACUGCUACAAAGUCUACGACCUGAGCAUAACAGUCAGUCAAUGUACAGAUGAUAUCAACAGGGUCUGUGGCAUUUAACUAGAUCCUCGGUGACUUUAACAAUCGCGGUAAGGACACAUUUUAAUAGGUCCCUUCUGGAUCAUAGGCCGCUGAAAGGCCAUGACAGCCUCCUAAUUUAACUGGGACAAGGACAUGAUGAUGACAAAUAAAAUAUUUCAUUUUUAUAAUAGGAUUUCCCUGUAAUCUUAUAGGGGCCUGUUAAACUGGGGUGGGGGGGGGAUAUUUUAUUAUCAAAAUCUGAAUUUAGACUAUUACAACACCCAAGCCGCCCAUUUACACUGCUAACACUUUCAUCCACAUCAUUCCAUUUAUCAAUUUUAGAUGUAAUUUAAAACACACCAUAGUCAGUAAUAGGUUUUUUCUUAAGUGACGAGCACAUUUUUUCACCAUCACAAAUUCUCUUAGUUUGAUUCAAGAUUGAAAGAGACAACCAAAGAGACAUACACCCAGCCUCCAGCAGUGCUGCCAACGCCAUGUCCACUUCCAGCUGCCAGUAAAGUGCAGCAGAUGCCAGUGAUAAUAGGGACAGCAUAUGGUUCCCCGAAUAUUGGUAUUGCUAAAGUUAUUUUUGACCAUGUUCUGCCAACCAUUUUUAUACUAGCAAUUCCAAAUGUUAUUCAUUGUACUGUCACAAUAAAAUAUGACAUAACAUAAAACAUAUUGUCUCCUGUCUUCUGUUUCCUUUUUAACAAUAUUCCUGCAUGGGAAUAUAUCAACAAAUACUAUUCUUACAUCAACUUGAUUGAUUGAUACAGACCACGAUUUACAUCUCUCUUUUUUUGUAUUUUAUUAACAAAACUAGAUUUUGCACUAUUUCAUCCAGUUUACACAUGUGGGUCAAAAAUUACCUUUUUUCAAAGAAGGAUUUUGAAUGAAAUGACUGCACAUAGUAACAAUAAUUUCCUUCAUAUAAUCAGCCAAUCACUGCUUUUUCUUCAUGCUUGGUUAUGUUGCCAUCAAAUUGAAGUUCAGAGCUAUGAAUUGUCCGUGACGUGGACGGCUUCAUGAUAGGUGGUAUGUCUGUCUUCAGGUUCUUCUCCGGCAGUGACUGGGUCUGAGUUCUCUUCAGAAGACACAAGCAAGUCCUCUACGUCAUCAGAAGCAUCUUCAUCAUUGUGGAGAACAUGUUGACUCACAGCAACUCUCAAGCACACUCAAAGCACACAGUAAUGUGCAUUAAAAGGGUUAACGCAGACAAAUGUGGGCAAACAUUUUGACUUGCGAGCCACAGUUAUGCUAAAAUUUAACAAGGGGGCCAGUGAGGGGCAGAUAGAUGGAGCGUUCAUGUAAACUAAGAUAAAUGACGUAAAAAUCAUGCAUAAAGGCUAAAAUGCUAAAAAUCUUUUUCUACACCAUCUAUUGUGGAAACAUGGGUAUUACAGAGACAAGGCAGAAGUAUAAUGAUAAUUUGGAAAAGAUUGGCGUUCCGGAUUAAAAAGCUGAACGGGCCGCAUCAGGCCCCCGGGCCUUAGUUUGCCCGUGUCUGGAUUAAUGAGUCAUCUUCAACUUUUCUGCCUUCAGGUUUUUGUGACCUUCAGCUCCAGCUGCUGCCCAUGAACAGACUCUUCAGGCAUCUACCUCUCAGCUGGCCUGGCUCACUUUUACUAUUUGAUAAUUAAUCACCCAGUGUAAGUGGGGAAAAAAGAAGGGCUAGUGUGUCAUGGAAAAUACCCAAUUAAAGUCAACUUAGGAGAUGUCAAACUAACUGUAGAGGUGAUAAUUAAAAACGAUCUUGGCAAGAGGAAAUAGGUCAGCUUGGGGUUUAACUGUAAAUUUACUCACAAUGAUAAAAAUGAAAUAUCCCCUGUGGUUUCCAGGCUGGGACUACAUGUCACUCAACAUUGAAUAAGGGUGUGUACACACAUACUUGUAGUUGGUUUGCUUAUGUUGGUGCUAAAGCAUUACAGGUGUCAAUUUGUUUAUUUUGCUAAGAUAAUGUAAUAUUCUGAUCUGCUGCAGUAAAAGCCAGGGCUUUCUUCUUGCUUUGUUCCAAAUAUAAAAUAGUAACCAAAAUAAUCAUGUCCAGACAAAAACCAUUAUAUUAUUCCCUUGUAAUGACUGAAAACAAACUGGUAAAGUUUCAAAAACCUCCUUGAACCACUACCACCCACAGAGUCGCUGCAUGGUCUGUAAAAGUCCUUGCUUGCAAGUUGAGGAUUGAUAUCUUCUGCCUGGAGUUGGGCUUCAAUGAAUAAACUGCUUCACAGAUUUGUCACCGAACCUGCUGCGUAGUGAAGGGAUAUUUUAUUCUGCUGUUACUUCAUUCCCAGAAGACAUUUCCUUAAUGCACUGGCCUUAAUGUACCUGUCUGUCUCUUGUCUGCAUUCCAAAUCAAUCCCAUUCACAUCAUUGUGUGUGCCACAAAAAUGUCACUUUUUCUACUCCUGGUCCACUUCCCAUUUUCCAGUGGAAAACACUGAGGCCUGUGAGAAGUUAGAGAACUACAGAUAUUCUUUUUGAACAGCAUAAAACAUUUCUAAAUCAAAAACGCUAAAUACCUAAACCACUGCCAAAUUACCUUUACUUAAUAAAAAAAUAGGCACCUCUUUGUGUGUACGAGAGAUUGCCAGCAUGUCUUUUAUCAUGAAACAAGACUUAACAUCAAAUAUUACACUGAUUGAAGCAGGCUUGACCAAUUUGUGGGCUUAAAUAAACACAAUUCUGACAGAAGUAUGUGCCAGACAAAAUUACCAAAGCAAAAAACAGAACGUGUUCUCUGCUCUAUUCUCCUGCCAAAAGGAGACUUAUGAAGAAAUCUGAACCUGGUUUCUUAAGGUGGGAUGAAGGUGACCUCUAAGUAGAACCAUCGGUGCUGAGAAAUUUCCAAAUACUAGUAUGGCAUCAGGGUUAGGGUUAGGAAAAUCACAUCUGGAUAAGAGUUUUUUCUGAAGAAGUAGGUCUUGUUGACAGUGAUCAGAUAGCAUCAAAAGCCUUGGUGAUAUUUGUGUCUGUGUCAGUCUGUCAGUUCCGCUGCCAUGGAAAAGUAGGUGAGGGAAGGGAGAACGGGGCCGUGUCUGUAUUGUGUAUCCAUCACCGGUGUUCAGUCCUUAGCUAUGCCACCCUCAAGGCUAAUGACAGCCAACACCACUGUUGUUGCCCAAAUCCCUCUGUAACAGUACUGGCCAUCAUGUUUUCCUCUGGGAUACGGACAUCACUAAUCCCUGUGCAUCACAUCAACAAUCUGCCUCGACCAGGUUUUUAAUAUGGGGAUGCCUCAGUUCUAAUACAUAACACCCUGCCCAUAACUUAUCAACUGAGCAAUUAAGGCAGAUCUCCUACCACGUGAAUCAUUUAUGCCUUUUGGGGUGGGGGCAUGUUUACAAUAUUCAUCGUGUUCCUCUUACUCAAGCUUGAAGAAUGCAAGUGUUUAACGAUAGUUAAAGGUGGAGAGAAGGGUGAAAGAGUCUACAGCAGCAGCCUGAAAAAGAAAGUAAGUCCAAUUGCAAUGUGGUCUGAAAUGAACAUGGAUUGAAAGCCACGAUACCAUUAAGUCCUGAGAUACAUUUGACCACAAUGUCUCAAUAUAAGGUAUGGAGACAUGCAGACAGCACAGGUUAAAACGUGAAGAAUGGUGAACAAAAAGCUGUUAUGGUUGGCUGAUGCCAAGAAGGAGACAGUGAAAGGCUGGUAUCUUCUGUCCCGAGACUCAUGGCAUAUCCUGCCAGUGGGGGGCGGGGAUGAAAAUUAGCAUGAUAACACCUCAUGGGUCUGUCUGUUAUACAUUAGCUUUGUUAUCUCUGGUGAAAAGGAGAAGGAAGAGUGUUGAGUGGUACAGGUGACAAGUGUUUGCUGUGUGAAGUGCAAACAACGCAUUAGAGCAACACUGUGAGGGUGACAAAUAAAAAGGCAAAGGUAAAAAAAAAAAAGAAAAGGGAACAGUCCAGGCCAAGGUCAUAAAGUCCAAUGUCACAGGAGGCAGCAGUAAACCACUGAAGAUAGAUAUAAAAUAUAAAAUAAAAUAUAAAAAUCAGGACAAAAAAAAAAACCAGAUUGGACAAAUAUCUAGCUGACACACCCUUAAUGUGUGGGACUAUUGUCCGUGAGAUUACGUCUAACCAAGAUAAGCAAAUGGCCUUUCCCAUGCGCCACACACCUUUAUGUGGUCAUCAAGUUUAACAUGUCCAUGCUGGAGAGCAGUGCUGUGAGUGAAUAAGUAAUUGUCCCAGUUUUCAAAGUGAAAAUAGGCCUGACAUAUAAAGACAAGACAAUUCCAUUGAAAAAUAAAAUAAAAGUGAAAGAGAGGAUAAAGUAAGUCACUUGAAAUGAACCAGUGGCACAUGCACUAUUCAUCUGUCGUAGGCUGUAGACAGGAGGCGCAGGAUUGUUGUUGCUCAUGAGGAUUAUGGUUUUAUUUUCAAAAUGAAAAUGACAGAAGUCAGUAAUUCACUGAAAAGGAAAUAACAGAGGGGGAUGGAUUCAAAUCCGUUUUUGACCUCAAAAAUAUUGCACUACUCUGAAAUGGAGUGCACGCUUCCAUUAGAUGACAUGGUUUGAAGCUAUUCUAGAAAAUGUGUGACACUAAAAAAAGGAUGGGAUGAACUCUGGCUUACCCAAAACAUGCAGGAGCUUCACAGCUGAGAGCUCACUGGCCAAUAACUCACUCUCUCAUUUUUCUGAGUUGGUCACAGGCUAUUUUACUGAAUCCAAAAAUACUCAUAGUAGCUCUCGCCACAGGUUUUUUUUUCUUUUCCUGUGGCCUAUAACUAUAAAGGAUAACAGUUUAUUAUGUACAUGUAUGCUGUGUUUGUUAUUCUUUUGCAUGGCAUUUGCAUUCUUCCUUAGGUUAACGUGUUAUAAAAGUAUUCAACAUCUUCAUGGAGGACUUAAAUCUAUAAUGUUCCCUAUUCCCUUUACAUGUCCUGAACAAACAUCUUGAAGUUUGGCAUCUUUGUCUCUGAAACAGUUGCAGAGAACAGAGGAAAAACAUUUAUCACCCCUCUCCUGUGGGCUGAUAAGGUGUCCCUAUUUAUUCAGAGUGGAAGAGAUAAACCUUGAAUGAAGCAUUGUGGGGCAUGGAGAGUGUGGAAGAGAAGAAGAAAGAGAGGGGUGUUGGAAAGAGGGAAACGCUCGGGGAGCAGCUUGGUUGAUAAUUGCCCAUGUGUUCGUGUGAGCAGAUGGCAUCUACUAAAAAACCAUCCCUGCUCAGUGAGGAGACUAGCGGAUGACCCCCUGUUCUGACCCCUACUUCCAGCCACUGUUGCUAUCACUGGCAGUAGCCUCUCUUGCCUCUUAAUCCAGCCUCACCCUGACACUGCAAUUUGUAAUUUUCUGGGAAUAAUCCCUUGGAGACAGAGCAUCCUAAAUACAGCAAGUCUGUGAACAAGUGGGCAGGAGAUGACAUGGUCAGCACAUAAAAGGAUGAUUCAGGGACACAAAAAAGGCAUUACAGUGGUCAGUUGAAGGCUGCGCCAGGGACCAAGAGAUACAGACUGACAGAACUGCACAGGAGAUUCAAGAGGGGCAUGAAUAGUGCUUCUGUCUCCUUGUUCUCCGAAGAAGAGACAGGACAGCAGAGGCAAUGGGGGGGAAAGUAAAACAAACAGGAAGCAAAGCUCACUACUACUUCUGUCUCCCCAGCUGCUGAUGUACAGCCCAGUGUCCAGAGGUCCUGUAGCUGUUUACGGGAAAGGCACUAUUCCUUUAACAAACGAUCCCAACAGUCAAUUCCUGGUGAGACGCGGCGCGGACAAGCGCUCAACAAAAGACUGGCUUUCUUGGUAUCUUUGCUCCACGCCCAGGUGCCGAGUCACAUGGUGUGCUCCAGGUGUGUGCGUUUCCAGGAGCCGUGGAUCAGUGGGCAGGGAGGGACACACCUGUGAGAUCCGUUCGAGCGUCGGCUCUGACUGACUGUCAUCAAAUUCCAGGGGGUUGUACUGAGAAGGAAGCGGGGCCACGGCGGGAGGAGCACAGAAGGAGAGCAGACUGGAGCGCAACCCGAGAGGGAGUAUUCCCCUCCCACUGCACUCUCACAGCCGCGGUGUGGAGACAACAAGCCGGGAGCAGCACAGGAAGAGUCGAGAAGUUGUGUUGUGGUUCCGACCACGCACCGAAAUGUGUUUCCCGAGGGCGGUGAUGGAGGAGCGGUGUGGCAGCAGUGGUGCGCACAGUGUGGAACGGACGCAGUGGAUUGAAGGGGCAGUCAGAGGGCUUUACAUGUCGACAUGUUCCCGUCCAACCCGCUGUACAUUAUAUGUACCGUUAUAUCAUACUGUCAUACCAUACUGUGGAGUAUAAAGUUGUGAGGAGAUCUUCAAAUAAAUAAGAUAAUAAAUAGAAUAGAACAGACAGUGAAAAGACUCAGAUUUUUUUUUGAAAGUUCUGUGCUCCACUCUAAUCAAAAUGUCACCAACAAAUGGACUUUCUUCAAUGACGAACAGUAGAACACGGUGUUUGUAAACGUCACAUUGUCAAUAUUCAGAAGAUGUUUUGUGCAAGACUCCAGUAAAUACCGAUGCAAACAGGAAAUUGAAUAAAUUGGGAAACAAAUAAAGUAGCUGUUAACAUGAACACAGACCUGUGUUUGACUCUAAUGUUAGCACAACUGUCCUCUGAGACGGCACGUGUUUGCCGACUCUCCUUAAUUGCUGCAGCUCAACAACAACAAUGCAUUCACAUAGUACACUAAGAGUCACAUGGAUAUACAGACAAUGUGAUAUUAAAAGCAGUGGCUGGUAUAGUGUAUAGUCAAUCAGGGUUUACUUGCAAAAUCCUGCUGGUUGCAUAAGACACUUGUCACCAAAGUAAUCCAAAAUGUCCCAGUUUGACACUGUGCCCACACAUGCACCACAAGAAGCAAAGAGCACCUUGAGAUUGUAGCUUGCAAAACUUUAUAUGAACACAAAUUAUUUUUAAUUUAUUUAUUUAUAUAUUUUUUGGCUUUGCUGGUAAAAUGACCUCUUUUCCUAUGACCGAUUGAAGCAAAGCCAAAAAAUGCUGAAGUUGUACAUCCAGAUUCCUUUCCCAUCAUAUUGAGCUCAACUACCAGCAUUAAAAUAUCUUGUUUUGUUGUAAAACAAAGCUGCUCAUGUCUCAUUCCCACAUGUCAUCAGCAGAUCUCAUGAUGAAUCAUAUCCAGCUGUGGUAUUUAAGACUAUAAAUUCCUACCCGAGUCGCGAGUCUUUAGUCACACCUUCCCACAAACAAUACACUGGACAUGACCUCACUGUCCAGGCAGUCACAGGCACUUGCAUUGUACCAAGAAGAAACAAAGAAAACUAUUUUGUUUACAUCCAGAAGGAGUCCCAUGUUUUUAUCAUUGUUGAUCACGUUAAGGUCACACGUUAUGACCUUAUUUGUUUGUUUAUGUUCAAUAGUAACAACUGAACAUUUAGUUUCUGUUCUUAUAAAUAUUGGCCAUAUCUGUCUAGGUAUUCCAUUUCGAUUGGCUGUUUCACCAUCUGGGAUGGCUCAGCAUUUUAUGCCGAGUUUCUCUUAAAAAAACCAAGUAUCGGAUAACACUGCAAUUUUUGAAGCCUAACUUUAUGACUGUGAGUUGUGGCUUGUUGUGUGGCAGAGUGUCAGUCCUUUUUUUAGUGAUUUAUGGGCAUGCAAAUGAGACUGUCUGUUUUGGGAGAUGUGCUGCUGUUGCCCAGUGGGCCCUGGAGCGAAGACUGGAGACAGUGUGGGAGUGAGUCAGUCUCUAACUGCUGACACAGGCGCAGGACUGGCAGGGAUUCUCAAAGGAAGAUUGGGAGAUGGCCUUCACAGGUCUUCACAUUGACUGAUGAGAUCAAGGAGAAAGUAGGCCAGGCCAGACAAGUGUCAAGCAAACAGACAUCUAGCAAUAGAACAGGAGAGACAAACAGUCCCUGAUCACAAACAGAGCGAGGAGAGUGGGAAUCGCAGGCUAGAGCCAGAGUGUUUUGGGUCUGAGUUCAAUAUGUCCAAACCUGUUGUCUGAAGAGUAAUGAUGCUGCUAAAUCCUGGAGUAUGGUGGACUGGAGGAUGCCAGCAGACAGAGCAGGCCAAGCCCAGCUCUCUAAAUUCACGAAAGGGGAAUAGAAGUUCACAUUGUCUGGCGAGAUAGUCCGACUGCGGUGACAUUUUGAUCAAUGUGCCUUUACCUUCCUGCAGCUCAUCUUUAUGUCGCUUGAAUUGUGAUGAUCUGUUAUCAUGCUGCUGUCAAACACAGCCAUUCAUCAUGUGGUGCCUUUCAGCCGGUCUAGGAUGUUUGAGUGUUAACAUACAACACAACCGUAUUUAUGGUGAAGCUCGUCCAUCGUGGACCUAUCAAAUUCAAGGUUCAUAGUUCAGAGUCUGUUGUUAUGUGGUUACACUGCCCUCUACAGGUUGCUCAAGAUUAUUCACAUCUAUUUGAUGCUUAAAAUAAACAUAUAAUAAAUUAACAAUAAACACACUUCUGCAAAGUCAUAUGUAUUGCAUUAAAAAUAACUGGAAUCCAAUGCUUUGGGUUCAACAGAUAUGAUAUACGGAUCAAAUUAAGUGAGAUAAAACCUUGGAAGCUAGUUGGCUUGUUUUCUCCUUCACUUCACAUGAUCCUAAUUGAUGUAUUUAUAUCUCUUUCAGAGAUACGUCUUUAGCAGAUUAGGCUUUGUUACUCAUACCCCAUUUGGUGCAUUACUUACACUGGUCGAUCUCACCCAGAGCAGAAUAAUUGUUUAAUUGCUGCAUUUAUUUUAAGAGUAGAUGAAGUGACCUGUGAAGUAAUGAAGUGUUGAAGUGAAAGCGAAAGUGAAAGAAACAGAAAGUGAAAUGCCACAUUGGACCUAUAUUAUAUACCUAUAUAUUAGAUGAUAGAUAGAUGGAUAUAUGGAUGAGCUUCUGCAGUUUUAGCAUAUAACGGACAGACAGUCUUAUGAUGCCACACUGACUAGCUCUGGCAGUGGCGGUUCUGGCAGGAGGGAGUGGGCUGGUGUUAACAUUCUGCAAGCAUCCGUUUGUCCGAGAAAGGAAUAAUCUAAAGAUUGAAAAUUCAGAGCUGCAAGUUCUUGGUGGGACAUGUUAUGUACACAGAUUGCUGUGUGGUCCCGAUUUGUUUAAAUAAGAUUCAGAAUAAAUCACUGUGUCUAUGGCUCGACAGGGGAAAGGACAAACCCAAUCGCCCUAGGAAAGACAUUUGUCAUCGUUUAUCUGAUGUCCUUCAUAAUUAUUCCAUUACAUAACACCAUCUAAUCACAGUUCCCUCAUCUCAUCCCACACUGUGCAGGUUUCCCAACUCAAAGUUGAACCAUCCUUAUGCCUGUAACAUUUCUGAUGUGAUGCAGCCCAGAUUAUGCAAUGGUCUGCCUAAGGUCUGCCUAAGGUCUGCUGACCAAACAGCUCAAAUUGGUUUAUUUAAAUGCCAUUGUGUUUAACCUCACUGUGUUCCUAUGUCCCUUACUGUAGAAGCCAAGUUGGAAGAAUAGUUAUAUGAAAUAAACUCUGUCCUUGGUGCUUCUUGGGUUGAACAAAGAGAGCUUUGUCCUCCUUAGGUGUGGAUGAAACAGUAGCUGGCAGAAUUCAUUACAGAUUAGUUAGCACAAACAUGGUGUAAUCCCCUUAUCUGCAUACUUACCUGUCCCUGACAGUGAUCCAAGCUCCUGUCUUUGAGACUCAUUGGCUUGACACUCUGACGGGAGCAAAUCCCUGUUUAAUGUGUCAGCCAGGACAGGUCUUUACACCCGGAGCACCACUCAGUCUGCUGGAGCACUGACAUUAUACCACUACUGCUUAAAAAAAAGUCUAAUAUUCACACAGAAUACUAUAGUAAUGCAUGCCAUAUGGUGUGCAAGCAUAUGAACAUUAAAGGCUUUUUUCCAUUCUGUACCAAAAACGCAUGCAGUAGUGUUUCUCUAAAAGGUGAUUAUUUCUUCAAAAAUGAAGAAUUUGCUUAGAUGCAGGUUAUUUUGUACAUUAAAAGGGAAAACAUUUUCUUUUAAAAGUUAAACGUUUUUGAACUACUGAAUGUAAGAACGGUUAAGUCGGUUAAAUAACACUGUUUCAAUUAUAUUAGAUCUAGUAGUGUAAAGAAGUGGUUGUACUUACAUCUGUUUAAAUAACGCAAAAAAUCGUAUGCAAAUCUAACCUUGACUUGACUGUGUUUUACUCGUGGAAAGAGUAAAAUAAAUUAAAUCGUUGUUGGGUUGUUUUUAAAGUCGCCAUUUUUCCUUUGGCCAGUGGAACAGGUUUAGAGCUGCUAGUGCUACCCUCUGGUGGCGUUUUGCGAUCACGACAAGAAUAACGCAACAAUUUAAAUUUGUGCACAUGAAAACUAAUCAGUAUUACAACGUAAAUAUUUUUCGAAAAAGAAAUCCUACGCGUGACGAAUAAAUUAUAUUCUUUUUCACGAAUGAGAAAACGGCGUGUGGAGAGUGACGUCACACGGGUCGAUCCCAUCAUGCAUUGCGCUAUGUGAAGUAUAAAACGAACUAAAUAUAAGAUAUAAUGCCAACCAGUCAAUGUUAUUUUUGGAUUUUGAGUGGUUAAUGUUUUGAAGUAUUCAGCGUACAUUGUGUUCUGAUGUAGACGUUGCACCGUGACUGAAAUCUAUAUAGGCUAGAUAGACAACCGCUGUUCGGCCGUUACAGAGUCAGCUUUGCGCAGUGGCAGUAUCGUAGCCUAUGAGGUUUAUCCGAGGCGCGAUUAUUGCUAGUUGAAAACUUUACCCAAUACCCCGCCUUGACGACUCUCUGAGUCGGCAAUGGCAAUUUUUGACGGUCUCUACGGAGACUGAUCUCUUUGUCAAAUAUAAUACUAUAAAAAUACAAGUAGGAAGGAUCAGCAGUAAACGUUAGUAAAUUACGUCAUUUCCGGUGCAAGGUGCUCACAUCACAAUAAUGAUUUACUUGUUUAACGAUAAGUAUGCAGAUCUUUCCAAAUUUAUUAGUGUUAAUCAUGACUGCAUCGUAAUGUAUAAGACUGCGCACAUCACAUUAACGUGAUUUUUUUUUACAACAUACAUACAGUUAUGUAAAUAGGAGCGAUGUCUAUCCGUAUCUAUUACGUCGCUGUCCAUGUUACUGCGGAGUACUACAUUUUGACCUUAUAGAUUCAACUCCUUGCUUCGUGUGUUUUUCCUUGAUAGUAAAAUCGAACUCUGGACAAAAGUGAUUUCAGUGUAGUUGGACGAGCACACUGACGGACGAGGUACUACGUAAUAUCCGAUUCAGCACAGCACAAGAACAAAAGCAUGGAAUGUAUACCCGACGCUUGAGAAUGGACGCUUUUAAACUAUAUCUUAAUACACUAUUAUUUGUUCAUUAUAACAAUUUUAAUUUACACGGGGAUAUUAAUCGAUCGAUUAAAAAACAUUGGCUUUUGAAAGAGACGCGGCUGAUAUCCGUGUCCAGGAAACCAGGGGCAGCUGACAUACACGUAAUUUCCGGGUUUAAACAAUGUAAAUAAAAACCCGUAAUAGUCAAAAGUGUGUCUUUUUAACAAUUCAUUACAGCGUUUUGCAUAUUGUAUACGUAUAAAAUCUGUCACAACUGAAAUUAGCUGUUUAGAAUACUGCAGACUGGAAAUACAUACAAGUGAUAAACAUUUUUUCGAGCAAUGUUCAAAGUCUGCAAGCAUUGUCAUCUUGGACAUACUCUAUACAUAAACAGACU